rnacentral:rRNA from 1 species
CAGCAGCCGCGGUAAUACGAAGGGGGAUAGCGUUGUUCGGAAUUACUGGGCGUAAAGCGCACGUAGGCGGAUAUUUAAGUCAGGGGUGAAAUCCCAGAGCUCAACUCUGGAACUGCCUUUGAUACUGGGUAUCUUGAGUAUGGAAGAGGUUAGUGGAAUUGCGAGUGUAGAGGUGAAAUUCGUAGAUAUUCGCAGGAACACCAGUGGCGAAGGCGGCUAACUGGUCCAUAACUGACGCUGAGGUGCGAAAGCGUGGGGAGCAAACAGGAUUAGAUACCCCCGUAGUCCCUGUCUCUUAUAC